rnacentral:pre_miRNA from 1 species
ACAACAUUCGGACCGUCGGUCUACCGAGCAAUAUCACCCGCUCGGUGGAAGAUCUUCCCUUUGUCGUAUACA